CAUUAGAAUUGUUAUUGUAUUCCUAUGAGCCAACCUAUGGCUUAUUAGGGCAAGAAACUGUGCAUCUUCUGUUCCUAUGGAUAAAUGCCUCUAUUGUUUCCUUAGUGAUCUACAAAGUACCAGCCUGUGAGCACAGAUGUUCACCUUGCAUCUCUUAAUGUUUCUUAAAUUUAUCUUUCUGCAAAGUUUUACAGUUCUAACCUCGGCCACCUCUUAAAUAUUUGAUUACAUAAAAUAAGAAUAGGGCGAAUCAGGCUUCUUAAAACAUUGGAGUUGGAGUAUGUCCCACAUACAUACAGCAUGUAUCUCUUUUUUUGUUUUUGUCCCCCAGUUGCUGCCUCCAGGGUACCAGCUAUCCUUAUCACUGCUCCCAUGGCAACAAGUCUCUGCUCCAGAGCUAACUGCAAGAGAACUAAUUCAGAAAGCAUCUCACUUUUUAUGGAAGGACAUCAUGACUGGCAUAUGAAGAGAAAGCAGACAAAGGAGCAAUAAUGGAAUGUACUGCUGGAAAUGUCCAAGUGUACCUGAGGCAAAGCUCCCAGUGUUACAAGAGUGCAAAAAGUAGAAAAGCUACUGGAUGGCCUGGGGAACUUCAACAGCUGAGGCAGCUCACCUAAUGGUUAAUUUUUCAUUAGCCAUAAAAUACAAGUUUUAUCAUAUACCUGUUAAAUAAAGUGUAAAGACCAUAAUUUGUCUUCUAUUUG
rnacentral:lncRNA from 1 species